rnacentral:rRNA from 1 species
AUUGAACGCUGGCGGCAUGCCUUACACAUGCAAGUCGAACGGUAACGGGCCUUCGGGUGCCGACGAGUGGCGAACGGGUGAGUAAUGCAUCGGAACGUACCUUUCAGUGGGGGAUAACGUAGCGAAAGUUACGCUAAUACCGCAUAUUCUGUGCGCAAGAAAGCAGGGGAUCGCAAGACCUUGCGCUGAUUGAGCGGCCGAUGUCAGAUUAGCUAGGUGGUGAGGUAAAGGCUCACCAAGGCGACGAUCUGUAGCGGGUCUGAGAGGAUGAUCCGCCACCCUGGAACUGAGCCACGGUCCAGGCUCCUACGGGAGGCAGCAGUGGGGAAUUUUGGACAAUGGGGGCAACCCUGAUCCAGCCAUGCCGCUUGAUGGAAGAAGGCCUUCGGGUUAUAAAGCUCUUUCGGCCGGGAAGAAAUCGCAUGGGUUAAUCCCCUGUGCGGAUGACGGUACCGGCAUAAGAAGCACCGGCUAACUACGGGCCAGCAGCCGCCGUAAUAC